AUGCAGUGAUGAUCUCUUAAAUGGUGCUUUCAACUCACUGAUUAUUGAAUGAAGAUGUGAAUUUCCUUGGCUGUGUCUGAGCAU
rfam:Phalacrocorax carbo contig86867, whole genome shotgun sequence.